rnacentral:rRNA from 1 species
AGUGAACGCUGGCGGUAGGCCUAACACAUGCAAGUCGAACGGCAGCACAGUAAGAGCUUGCUCUUACGGGUGGCGAGUGGCGGACGGGUGAGGAAUACAUCGGAAUCUACUUUUUCGUGGGGGAUAACGUAGGGAAACUUACGCUAAUACCGCAUACGACCUACGGGUGAAAGCAGGGGAUCUUCGGACCAUGCGCGAUUGAAUGAGCCGAUGUCGGAUUAGCUAGUUGGCGGGGUAAAGGCCCACCAAGGCGACGAUCCGUAGCUGGUCUGAGAGGAUGAUCAGCCACACUGGAACUGAGACACGGUCCAGACUCCUAUGGGAGGCAGCAGUGGGGAAUAUUGGACAAUGGGCGCAAGCCUGAUCCAGCCAUACCGCGUGGGUGAAGAAGGCCUUCGGGUUGUAAAGCCCUUUUGUUGGGAAAGAAAAGCAGCAGGUUAAUACCCCGCUGUUCUGACGGUACCCAAAGAAUAAGCACCGGCUAACUUCGUG